rnacentral:rRNA from 1 species
AUUGAACGCUGGCGGAAUGCUUUACACAUACAAGUCGAGCGGCAGCACGGGGGCAACCCUGGUGGCGAGCGGCGAACGGGUGAGUAAUACAUCGGAACAUGCCCAGUCGUGGGGGAUAACACUUCGAAAGAAGUGCUAAUACCGCAUACGUCCUGAGGGGGAAAGCGGGGGAUCGCAAGACCUCGCGCGAUUGGAGUGGCCGAUGUCAGAUUAGCUAGUUGGUGGGGUAAAGGCCUACCAAGGCAACGAUCUGUAGCUGGUCUGAGAGGAUGAUCAGCCACACUGGGACUGAGACACGGCCCAGACUCCUACGGGAGGCAGCAGUGGGGAAUUUUGGACAAUGGGGGCAACCCCGAUCCAGCCAUUCCGCGUGAGUGAAGAAGGCCUUCGGGUUGUAAAGCUCUUUCGGCAGGAACGAAACGGUGAGCUCUAACAUAGCUUGCUAAUGACGGUACCUGAAGAAGAAGCACCGGCUAACUACGUG